AAGGAAGGUGUCGGAAGUUCACGUCGAUGAACGGGAGCUAUUUCGAGUUCCUCAGCGUUGCUCGAGGAGAAGUGCGUUUUAAUGGUGCACGCAGGUGCGAGUACAUCGUGUCCUCCCUUCUCUUGCAUCCUAAGUAUCUGUUAAUGACGGCUUACAACGAAAUGGCAAAGUUCCCUUCCUUCGGCUGUUCCUCCUAGUUUUAUCCGGUUCGCUACAACGAUGCGAGAACUUCCCGUCAUCGUUGCGAGAGCCAUCGUCGCAAUUGUGCAGUUUUACAGUGCUUCUUAAAUUAUAAUUUUACGGUUUUCAACGAGAAUCUUUUCGCUAAAUCUUCUUUGUAAAAAA